AAGUCGUAACAAGGUUUCCGUAGGUGAACCUGCGGAAGGAUCAUUAACAGUGCUCGUAGUGCUCCAAUGUGCGUUUGUGAGGACCAGGGCGUCGCUCAGGUACAUGCUCAAUGUUGCGAAAUGGGAAUAGGCUUUGAUGUCUUACUCUUUAGGGAGCAACGACUGAUCUUUCGAAGCCAUCUCGCGCACUGAUAUCAUGCUCCUGUUUGGAACUACUACCUCUCGAGCGCACGUUCAUUUUACCCCACCUGUCCUUUUGAACACUGAAUAGUAAAGCUUAGUUGAAAAACUUGCAAAACUUUUAGCAAUGGAUCUCUAGGCUCUU
rnacentral:misc_RNA from 1 species